CUACGGGGCGCACCAGGUAGGAAUCUUUUGCAAUGCGCGCAAGCGUGACAAAGCGAGCCAGAGUGUUUUACAAUGUAAAACUUUUGCUAAAUGUAAAAAGUUUGGCGAAUAAGGACUGGGUAAGACGAGUGCCAGCCGCCGCGGUAAUCCUCGCGGUCCAAGUCGCAGCCAUCAUUAUUGGGUCUAAAACAUCCGUAGCUUGCUUGAUAAGUUCCUUGUGAAAUCGUGUCUCUUAAGGGCACGGCGUGCAGGGAAUACUGUUGAGCUAGAGACUGGAAGACGUAAGAAGUACGUUUAAAGUAUCGGUAAAAUGAGUUAAUCUUAGACGGACUCACAACAGCGAAGGCAUCUUACGAGGACAGUUCUGACAGUAAAGGAUGAAGGCUAGGGGCGCAAAACGGAUUAGAUACCCGAGUAGUC
rnacentral:rRNA from 1 species